rnacentral:rRNA from 1 species
UACGUAGGGGGCCAGCGUUGCUCGGAAUUACUGGGCGUAAAGGGUCCGUAGGCGGUGUGGCAAGUCGGAAGUGAAAUCUCUGGGCUUAACCCAGAGGCUGCUCCCGAAACUGCCGUGCUAGAGUGCGAGAGAGGCGAGUGGAAUUGCGGGUGUAGCGGUGAAAUGCGUAGAGAUCCGGAAGAACACCGGUGGCGAAGGCGGCCUGCUGGGCAGUUGCUGACACUGAGGCGCGACAGCGUGGGGAGCAAACAGG